rnacentral:lncRNA from 12 species
GAAGAAUGGACUUUGAUUAGCUCCACCUGGAAUACAGGCUCAAACAUGACUGAUCCUCCCUUUAAAGGGACAGGCCAACCUUUGGAAUAUGACUUGAAAGGCUGGAAGAGUAAUCACUUGAGGCAUGGAUUGGAAGCUGAAAUGCACAGAGAAGCAACAAGUUUCUCACCUGAAACCCAUUUAGCAGGAAGCAUGGGCAUCUACAUUAUUCACUUUUGAAUAAUCUCAUGCUAACCAGACAUGGUCCUGCAAGUAGGAGCAGAAAUAAGCCAAAGAGGCAGGAUGCCAUAUUUUUAUUUGAGAGGAAGAAUUUGGCUAUGAGUUAAGUCUUACCUCUUGC